UACGUAGGUGGCGAGCGUUGUCCGGAUUUACUGGGCGUAAAGAGCGCGCAGGCGGUCGUACAAGUCGCGUGUGAAAGCCCCCGGCUCAACUGGGGAGGGUCACGCGAUACUGUUCGACUCGAAGGCAGGAGAGGGUAGUGGAAUUCCCGGUGUAGUGGUGAAAUGCGUAGAUACCGGGAGGAACACCAGUGGCGAAGGCGACUACCUGGCCUGUUCUUGACGCUGAGGCGCGAAAGCUAGGGUAGCAAACGGG
rnacentral:rRNA from 1 species